GCUGCAUCUUGCCUUCUAUAGGACUCAAAUAUCAGCCACUAACAUCUGUCCAGGGACUUCAGACUGUCCUCUGGAUAUUUCACCCCUGCCCUUGAGGCAUUCACACAUAGGAGGUGAAUGGAUUUAAACCUUCCGAGCCACUUCCUGGAACUUUACCAAUGAUUCCUU
rnacentral:lncRNA from 1 species